GUAGGUGGCAAGCGUUGUCCGGAAUUAUUGGGGCGUAAAGCGCGCGCAGGCGGUUCUUUAAGGGUCUGAUGUGAAAGCCCACGGGCUCAACCGUGGAGGGUCAUUGGAAACUGGAGAACUUGAGUACAGAAGAGGAAAGCGGAAUUCCACGUGUAGCGGUGAAAUGCGUAGAGAUGUGGAGGAACACCAGUGGCGAAGGCGGCUUUCUGGUCUGUAACUGACGCUGAGGCGCGAAAGCGUGGGGAGCAAACAGGAUUAGAUACCCUGGUAGUCCACGCCGUAAACGAUGAGUGCUAAGUGUUAGGGGGUUUCCGCCCCUUAGUGCUGCAGCUAACGCAUUAAGCACUCCGCCUGGGGAGUACGGCCGCAAAGGCUG
rnacentral:rRNA from 1 species